GAUGAAUGCUGGCGGCGUGCCUAAUACAUGCAAGUCGAGCGGCAGCGCGUCUAGUUUACUAGAUGGCGGCGAGCGGCGGACGGCUGAGUAACGCGUAGGAAUGUGCCCCAAAGUGAGGAAUAACUGCCCGAAAGGGUAGCUAAUGCCGCAUAUGGUCUUCGGAUUAAAGGAUUUAUCCGCUUUGGGAGCAGCCUGCGUACGAUUAGAUAGUUGGUGAGGUAAUGGCUCACCAAGUCGACGAUCGUUAGCUGGUCUGAGAGGAUGAUCAGCCAGACUGGAACUGAGACACGGUCCAGACUCCUACGGGAGGCAGCAGUAAGGAAUCUUCCACAAUGGGCGAAAGCCUGAUGGAGCAACGCCGCGUGCAGGAUGAAGGCCUUCGGGUCGUAAACUGCUUUAUGAGUGAAGAAUAUGACGGUAACUCAUGAAUAAGCACCGGCUAACUACGUGCCAGCAGCCGCGGUAA
rnacentral:rRNA from 1 species